GACGUGACGCUGAUUUUUGUGUUAUCCAGCCUGCCCUGAGCCGUAAGGGCGCUGACGUCUGCACGGGAGCACUGCAGCCCUGUCCUCGCAUCACCUGCAGCCUCCGCAGCCAAGGGCAAACCUCUUGAGAAGGCUCUGUGUAGUGCUGUGUGUCGUGCCUGUGGUGUCACUGUCAGGGGAUUACAGCUGUGAGCAGGAGUGUGACCACAGCAAUCCCGUACCUGCUCAGCAUCCCACUGUUCUGUGCCCAUCUGUUCUCAGAUUCCCACUUGCUGGGCACCACGGGAAUCUGCACCAAUAAACAGAUUCAGUCUCCUGUGUGUUUUA